rnacentral:rRNA from 1 species
AUGGACGUCAAGUCGGUGUUUCUCAACGGCGACCUUAACGAGGAGGUGUACGUCUCCCAGCCUCCAGGGUUCGUUGCCAAGAACCGCGAGCAGGGCGUGUACAGGCUACACAAGGCCCUGUAUGGUCUCCGGCAAGCCCCAAGGGCGUGGAACACUAAGUUUGAUGCAAGCCUCGCAUUCCUUGGGUUCUCACGCAGCAUUUCUGAGCAUGGCAUGUACUCGCGUGGCACCGCGAACACGUUGCUCAUCGUCGGCAUCUACGUCGUUGAUCAGCCGAGGGCGGGCGCUUAUCUUUCGGCACACGGGCAGUGGCCUGUGCACAGGGAGGCUCCCAAUGCCAAUGGCGGUGUCCGGCGCUGA